AUCACUUGGGAUCUUGUUGAAAAGCAGAUUCUGAUUCAGCAUGUCUGGAGAAUGGCUUGAGAUUCUGCAUUUCCAAUAAGCCCGCAAGUGAUACUGG
rnacentral:pre_miRNA from 1 species